AUUGAACGCUGGCGCCAUGCCUUACACAUGCAAGUCGAACGGUAACAGGUCUUCGGAUGCUGACGAGUGGCGAACGGGUGAGUAAUACAUCGGAACGUGCCCGAGAGUGGGGGAUAACGAAGCGAAAGCUUUGCUAAUACCGCAUACGAUCUCCGGAUGAAAGCAGGGGACCGCAAGGCCUUGCGCUCACGGAGCGGCCGAUGGCAGAUUAGGUAGUUGGUGGGAUAAAAGCUUACCAAGCCGACGAUCUGUAGCUGGUCUGAGAGGACGACCAGGCACACGGGGGCGGCGAUACGGACCAGACUCAUACGGGAGGCAGCAGUGGGGAAUUUUGGGCAAUGGGCGCAAGCCUGAUCCAGCCAUGCCGCGGGCAGGAUGAAGGCCUUCGGGUGGUAAACUGCUUUUGUACGGAACGAAAAGACUCUGGUUAACACCUGGGGUCCAUGACGGUACCGUAAGAAUAAGCACCGGCUAACUACGUGCCAGCAGCCGCCGUAA
rnacentral:rRNA from 1 species